rnacentral:rRNA from 1 species
AGAACGAACGCUGGCGGCAUGCCUAACACAUGCAAGUCGAACGAGACCUUCGGGUCUAGUGGCGCACGGGUGCGUAACGCGUGGGAAUCUGCCCUUAGGUUCGGAAUAACAGUUAGAAAUGACUGCUAAUACCGGAUAAUGUCUUCGGACCAAAGAUUUAUGCCUAAGGAUGAGCCCGCGUAAGAUUAGCUUGUUGGUGAGGUAAAGGCUCACCAAGGCGACGAUCUUUAGCUGGUCUGAGAGGAUGAUCAGCCACACUGGGACUGAGACACGGCCCAGACCUCCGUACGGGAGCAGCAGUGGGGAAUAGUUGGAC